AGAGUUUGAUCCUGGCUCAGAUUGAACGCUGGCGGCAGGCCUAACACAUGCAAGUCGAGCGGAUGAAGGGAGCUUGCUCCCUGAUUCAGCGGCGGACGGGUGAGUAAUGCCUAGGAAUCUGCCUAUUAGUGGGGGACAACGUUUCGAAAGGAACGCUAAUACCGCAUACGUCCUACGGGAGAAAGCAGGGGACCUUCGGGCCUUGCGCUAAUAGAUGAGCCUAGGUCGGAUUAGCUAGUUGGUGAGGUAAUGGCUCACCAAGGCGACGAUCCGUAACUGGUCUGAGAGGAUGAUCAGUCACACUGGAACUGAGACACGGUCCAGACUCCUACGGGAGGCAGCAGUGGGGAAUAUUGGACAAUGGGCGAAAGCCUGAUCCAGCCAUGCCGCGUGUGUGAAGAAGGUCUUCGGAUUGUAAAGCACUUUAAGUUGGGAGGAAGGGCAUUAACCUAAUACCUUAGUGUUUUGACGUUACCGACAGAAUAAGCACCGGCUAACUCUGUGCCAGCAGCCGCGGUAAUACAGAGGGUGCAAGCGUUAAUCGGAAUUACUGGGCGUAAAGCGCGCGUAGGUGGUUUGUUAAGUUGGAUGUGAAAUCCCCGGGCUCAACCUGGGAACUGCAUCCAAAACUGGCAAGCUAGAGUAGGGCAGAGGGUGGUGGAAUUUCCUGUGUAGCGGUGAAAUGCGUAGAUAUAGGAAGGAACACCAGUGGCGAAGGCGACCACCUGGGCUCAUACGACACGAGGUGGAAAGCUGAGCACCCU
rnacentral:rRNA from 1 species